AUGGAAUAUCCUUUAAUUUCUAUGGGCUUUUUUUUACCCAUUUUCCAUCACCCUUCUUCCCUUUCCCUCUCUCUCUCUCUCUCUCUCUUUACAAUGACACUAUUCAUGUUGUGCAUGAGAGAGAAUGGGAGAGAUCUGAGAUGUGAAAUUUUUGUGUUGAGGUUCUAGCCAUGCUUUUCCACAGCUUUCUUGAACUUUCUUCUCUGUUUUUUUUGUGAUCUUCAUGUUCUCAAUCAUUUCUCUGAAAAUCUCUCCUUGAGAUUGCAAAAGGAAAAAAACCCUUUGGAAGUUCAAGAAAGCUGUGGGAGAACAUGGCAUUUCUAGGCCUUUUAUUGGUUCCUCCUCCAUUGUUUGGGAAAGUUCAGUUUGCAGACAAAAAGGUAUCUCCAAUUCCACUUCUUUGACGAGAAGUUUGGUUCUGACCAAGAUUAAGCUAUACCGACCCGCAAAUACGCUCUUGACAAGCAUAGAAGAGAGAUUCGAAUGCAUCAAAUUGAGAAUUUUUUCUUUUUCAAAUUUGGUUGGAGGUUUUUUUUGUUUGAAAAAAAAAAGAUGAAGCAUUUUAUUGAAUGAGAAUGGUGGGUUUGAGAGAAGAUUCCUCACCUUUCCUUUUUAUCAUCAAUGAUGAAUUCAUUUCAUUUUUCUUCAUUAAUCCCUAUUGGCUCUUUUUGUUUUUUUGGUUUCCCAUCUCCUACAAUUCUGUGAAAAACGUUAAAUUUUGUCCCUUUCUUACAUCAUUUUUUUAACCACUCCCUGUCUUUCUGACUUCAUCUCUCUCCUCUCUCUCUCUCUUGUACAAAUCAAAGCCUUAAAUGCUACAAAAGAAAAAGAAAAAGAACAUGUCACUGUCUCUGAUUCUGCAUUUAUGACCUGUUUGUGUGCGCUUUAAGUAAAUAAUUCCAAGCUUUGUAUUGCAGAGAGAAUGUAAAAUGGAAGACAGCAGCAUUUAUUUAUGUUAGCUUUUGGAGAACUCAAACUUGGGUGUGUUGGAUUGGAUGUAGGUUUUAUUAUGUUCUUUCUUUGGAAUAACCCAUAAUGAUUAUCAAAAAGUUUAGAUCAUGAGAUCAUCAUUCACAACA